UACGAAGGUGGCAAGCGUUACUCGGAAUUACUAGGCGUAAAGGGCAGGUAGGCGGUUUGGUUAGUCUGUUGUGAAAGCUCCUUGCUUAACGGGGAGAGGCCAACAGAUACUGCCAGGCUUGAGUAUAGGAGAGGGUACUGGAAUUCCCGGUGUAGCGGUGAAAUGCGCAGAGAUCGGGAGGAACACCGAUGGCGAAAGCAGGUACCUGGACUAUUACUGACGCUCAGCUGCGAAAGCUAGGGGAGCAAACAGG
rnacentral:rRNA from 1 species